rnacentral:lncRNA from 10 species
UAAAAUCAUGUUGGAAUGGAGUUCUGUGUGGAUGCUCCUUUGAACCAAAUCAGUUCCACAACUGACCCUGUCAGGGACAUAUAAAUUUAGCAUUUUGGUGUGGAUACAGAAGACGAGAUUAACACAGAUCAAGUAACAUGGAAAUAAAAAAGGAGACAAUGCUGGAUGAUACAGGGGCAGCCAACAAGAGGAGAAAACCCAAGCAUUGGCAAAUGCCUCAUUAUCCAAAGAACACUGUAAAAGAAAGCCUGAGGAGGCUUUCCCCUCUGAGUUUUUCCGUGGAUUGCUGGACUCUGAGGCCCUCAUUCCUCUUGCAGGAGGUGUGGAGCAAAACUGUGUUGAAUGAACUGUAGAUGGAAAUUCUCUCCUUCCCACCGAGGAGCCGCUGCAGGUUGCAGACUCCCAGAAUGCCACACUGAGAAGAGGAGGGCUAAAAUUCUAGAGCAGAAUCCCUGGGGCAGCCCCUGCUGAAGAAGGGUGCAUCUGUUGAGAAUCUCAUCACCGCCCCCACCCCGCCCAGCCUUCAAUUUAGAGGAAUUUCUAGUUCACGCAGAAUGAAGACAAGAUCACAUAAGUGAGGACGACGCCCCAUUUACAAGUGUGAUUUGGAAGACUGAAGUGGAAACCUUGGGAAGGGGCCUCAGAGUAUGUCAGCUGGGGUCAGACGGGAACAGGAGUCUGGCUCAACACACAUUUAUUGCACUCCUGUUUCAUGCCAAGAAAUGUACCAAAAUCUGGGACUGUGUAACACAGCAAAGGAAAAGACUCAUCUCCAGGAAGCCCCCUUGUCUAGGAAGAGAAAUUGAAUAUCAGCAUAAGGUGGUGAAAAGCUGUGAAGGAGAUGAGUGCCAGGAGUCCAUGGAGGAAGGAU